UUGUUGCCAGCGGUUAGGCCGGGAACUCAAAGGAGACUGCCAGUGAUAAACUGGAGGAAGGUGGGGAUGACGUCAAGUCAUCAUGGCCCUUACGACCAGGGCUACACACGUGCUACAAUGGCGCAUACAAAGAGAAGCGACCUCGCGAGAGCAAGCGGACCUCAUAAAGUGCGUCGUAGUCCGGAUUGGAGUCUGCAACUCGACUCCAUGAAGUCGGAAUCGCUAGUAAUCGUGGAUCAGAAUGCCACGGUGAAUACGUUCCCGGGCCUUGUACACACCGCCCGUCACACCAUGGGAGUGGGUUGCAAAAGAAGUAGGUAGCUUAACCUUCGGGAGGGCGCUUACCACUUUGUGAUUCAUGACUGGGGUGAAGUCGUAACAAGGUAACCGUAGGGGAACCUGC
rnacentral:rRNA from 1 species